rnacentral:rRNA from 1 species
GCCUUCGGGCUCUUAGUAAAGCGGCGGACGGGUGAGUAACACGUGGGUAAUCUGCCCUCUGGCGGGGGACAACCAUCCGAAAGGAUGGCUAAUACCGCAUACGUCCUCGUGGUCUGCGGGCCAUGAGGGGAAAGCUGGGGAUCGCAAGACCUGGCACCAGAGGAGGGGCCCGCGUCGCAUCAGCUAGUUGGUGGGGUAACGGCCUACCAAGGCGAAGACGCGUAGCUGGUCUGAGAGGAUGAUCAGCCACACUGGGACUGAGACACGGCCCAGACUCCUACGGGAGGCAGCAGUGGGGAAUAUUGGACAAUGGGCGCAAGCCUGAUCCAGCCAUGCCGCGUGAGUGAUGAAGGCCUUCGGGUCGUAAAGCUCUGUGGGGAGCCACGAACACCCGCGUGUUAAUACCACGCGGGAUGACGGUAGCUCCUUAGCAAGCACCGGCUAACUCCGUGCCAGCAGCCGCGGUAAUACGGAGGGUGCAAACGUUGCUUGGAAUCAUUGGGCGUAAAGCGCACGUAGGCGGUUUUGUAAGUCGGAUGUGAAAGCCCUUGGCUUAACCAAGGAAGUGCAUUCGAAACUGCAUGACUUGAGUACCGGAGAGGGUCGCGGAAUUCUCGUUGUAGAGGUGAAAUUCGUAGAUAUCGGGAGGAACACCAGUGCGAAGG